GACCCGCUGUGGGGGAUUCUGGCGGACGUGGGCCCGUGUCCACACCGACAAGAACCCGGUCUCCUGAGGACCCGCUGUGGAGGCUUCGGGAGGAUGUGGGGCCGCGUCCACGCCGACAAGAACCCGUCUCCUCAAGACCCGCCGCGGGAGGAGCAGGCCGCUGCUGCGACGCCCAGCAGGGAGCCCAAAGCAAAGAGGGAUUCAGGAGCAGCCCAGCUACCGCUUGGUUCCCACAAAAUGGUCACCUUGGAACUCUUUAUGGAAGAGGAGAAAACACCACCACCAGCACCACCACUGUUUCAUAACCCUGCACUGAAUGUGGACACAACAACCAACAACCCCCAAGAGGAAACUCUGGCAGUGCUGGUGCGGAGUGAUGGAGGACAGCACGCUGGAGUAUCGCAGGUGGAAUUGUCACUGUGGCCAUGGGGGCAGUUACAGAGCCUGUCCAGGGUCAGUUUUGGGUGUCUGGAGUAUACGCAGGAAAUAGGAGAGGUUGAAAGCAAGAGAAAAACACCAGAAAACGUAUGACUUCAUGAGGCUUGCGUCUUCCCUCUACCUCUAUAGUCCAAGUUCGUGGAUGGCACUGGAAUUACAUCCUUAGCAUGUGCAUCAUAACCUCCAGGUGAG
rnacentral:lncRNA from 1 species